rnacentral:rRNA from 1 species
GAUGAACGCUGGCGGCGUGCCUAAUACAUGCAAGUCGAGCGAACAGACGAGGAGCUUGCUCCUCUGACGUUAGCGGCGGACGGGUGAGUAACACGUGGAUAACCUACCUAUAAGACUGGGAUAACUUCGGGAAACCGGAGCUAAUACCGGAUAAUAUAUUGAACCGCCUGGUUCAAUAGUGAAAGACGGUUUUGCUGUCACUUAUCGAUGGAUCCGCGCCGCAUUAGCUAGUUGGUAAGGUAACGGCUUACCAAGGCAACGAUGCGUAGCCGACCUGAGAGGGUGAUAGGCCACACUGGAACUGAGACACGGUCCAGACUCCUACGGGAGGCAGCAGUAGGGAAUCUUCCGCAAUGGGCGAAAGCUUGACGGAGCAACGCCGCGUGAGUGAUGAAGGUCUUCGGAUCGUAAAACUCUGUUAUUAGGGAAGAACAAAUGUGUAAGUAACUAUGCACGUCUUGACGGUACCUAAUCAGAAAGCCACGGCUAACUACGUG